ensembl:snRNA U4 U4 spliceosomal RNA
AGCUUUGCGCAGUGGCAGUAUUGUAGCCAAUGAGGUUUAUCGAAGGGGCGAUUAUUGCUAAAACUUUUCGCAAUACCCCGCCGUAACAACUUGCAAUACAGUCGGCACUGGCAAUUUUUGAGUCUCUACGGUGA